AGCCUGCCAGAGCCGAGGUAGCUGCCCUGCCAAGAGCUAUCCUGGGAGAGCUAUUGAAAGAGCCUUGAGUAAGUACACACGGGGCGGAUUUCUCCUCCCCUCAGUACCUGCUCCGCACCUGUACAGGGAACAGUCCCACACAUAUCACCUGAUCGCAGGCUUUUCAGAGACCGUGAGAAAAAUAAAGCCCAGGAUAGAAGAGAUGUUUGUUGUCUCUCUGGAGCUGCAGCCAGCUCCCUGCGGUCUGCGUCCCAGAAACAGCACAUUCCCCGCCGAUUGUGCGGCGGUGCACGCGUGUUUGCCGGCGCGCGUGCCCGGUGGGGAGGGGCGGGAGGGAAGCCAGGGAUCACCUGCCUGAUGACUGCCUCGCUGCCUGCGUGUUCUGGCAUCUGCCUGACGGGCAGUUUCAUGAUCCUUUACUAGAAUCAUUAUUGUGUGGUCCUUCUACUAGAUAAGCGUCCAUAUAUGCCCAUCACGGCAAAAUUCACAACCAGGAUUUCUUACCUUAAGAAGAACCCCCUACGCUGAACCUAAAAUAAUGCCCGAAAUGGAAUUCCGAAUGAAGCCUACAUGCACCUUUGGCAGUAGCUUAAUAUAUACUUUUUUGAAUGAAUGGAUCAAUGAAUGAGUGCAUGAUUUCUUCCUCAGGGGAGGGUCCAUAGCUUUCAGCAAAAUUUCAAAGCUUCUCCUGACCCUGAAAGGCGGAGGAAACUGAUCUAGACAAUCUCCACUUACAAGUCUGUACCUAAGCCCAGAGAGGGCAUGGGACUGGCUUAAGGGCCUACAGCAACGUAUGACCAGAGUGGGGGCCAGAAGCCGGCUCAGAGGCCUUUACCACACCACAGUGCUGCGGUCCAUGGGAAAUCUGGGGUGGGGUUUAUGGAGUUGUGAUCACCAACCACCAAAGCCUGGAUUUAAAGUGAUUAGGGGCACCUGGGUGGCUCAGCGGGUUGGGUGUCUGACUUUGACUCAUGAUCUCUUGGUUCAUGGGUUGGAGCCCCAUGUCUGGCUGUGCCGACAGCUCAGUCCUGGAGCCUGCUUCGGAUUCUGUGUCUCCCUCUCUCUGCCCCUCCCCCCGCUCAUGCUCUGUCUCUCCCUCUGUCUCUCUCUCAAAAAUAAACAUUCAGAAGAUUUUGAAGAAAAAAAAAUAGACACAUUAAUAAAGUGCUUUGAAUUUCCAGAACCUUUUUUUUUUUAAAUUCUGUGACGCUAGUGCUGCUCUGCCCCCAAUUUUUGCGUGGAGAAAGGGACAGGCAAGAAAGCCAAGUGUUUUUUAAGAGAAGAUGAUUCAGGAAUGCUUGGAACAAGAGUCCUGGUUGCCAUGAAGAGGCAUUAGAAACAACUGCGUCUGCAUUCCAUCUUUGAUAAAAAUAAGUUGCUACUUCUGAACAAAACUGCCGGGUCGGUCUCCAGCCGGGCUGGGACUUCGAACUGCAAAGGAGGUGGAGGCGGAAUACGGAAGCUUUGGACAUUGGCUAAUAGCAGCCUGUAAUGCUCUCUGCCCCCCACCCGCCUUGGAAAAACUUGAGUGAGCCAGUGAGAAUGUGCACUUUUCCAAUGGGCCCUGAAAAAGGAUGGUUGCCAAGAAAGCCUUUUCCAAUGGGGUGGGGGCAGGGCGCUCCAGAAUGGCUCCACUCCCACGUUUGGCUCCAGCAGCAGCAGCAGCAGCAGCCCCAGUAGCAGCAGUGAGCUGGGAAGGCUCUAAACGCCGCCGCUCACCUUUGCCCCCUGAGCAGGGCUGUGGUGAGGCGACCUGCAAGCCCAGAGACGAAAGAGAGAAAGAGCGCAUUCCCCAGGGGCCACAGGGAUGUUAACUUGCAGUUAAAGGCUCAGAACUGCACCAGGGCUGGUGCCCGAGGGGGUCUCUGGAAGGCUCAGGAAGGCGGGGUGAAGCCUGGCCCCUUUAAACCCAGGACCUGCAUUGUUUGGCUUGCUGAUAGCUGCUCAAAUUGUGACUUCGGAUCCAAUUGCUCAAAAGAUAAACAACAGCAACAAAAAACUCAGCUAGCCAGGAAAACCAUGUAGGUAAAACUUAGCGCCUGAAAGUGAUACAGUAUGAGCGUAUGCAACAUGUUUUUAAUUAAAAUCUCCAUCAUUAUUAUCCUCAUAUCAUCUCCCCCCCACCCGCCCCCGCCACUUGUAGGAAAAGGGCUGGGGGAGGCAAGGGAAGGGACCCAAGAGGUGGUAUAAUGGAGCCCAAGAAGAAGUGACUUGUCCAAGGUUCAACACCUCCCCAAGAGGAAAUAGCAAAGCCAGAAUUAGGCUCAGAUUUUCUGCCCACCCACCCAGAAACCUGCCUCACUCUAUCUCUAUAAGAACCUUUUGAAAGGUCAUCUACAGCAAAUCUACAGCAUUACCACCCAAGAUGGAUUUUCGAAUCGAGAAUCCGACCAUGGCUGGUGAGUGAUUUUUGGUAGUGUGACAGGCUGUGCCCAGCACAGAGCGUGGGUAAAUCCCAGGAUUGCUGCACUGGGAUGCUUUCUUGGAUUCAACUACCCCCCCUCCCCCCAACCUCUGGAAGAGAAAGGAUCCUGAUUUCCAAGGAUCUGAGUUCCAGGAGACAGGAGGCCCCGUGCAGGGGUCACACAGAAUAGUCCUCUUGUCUCUCAGUCAGCCAAGCCCAGCCAUACACCAUUGCUCUUUUCUUCUCAUUGCCAACCUUGUCCCCUUAUUUGCACCCUAAAAGGAAGAUGGGGGGCAGGGGAGGAUAUGUCUAACCCCUGAAUCUGUGCUUCGUCAACACUGGGCUUUUAUCCGGACCAGAGAAGAUGUGAUGCUAGGAAUAUUGUGGUGAUGUUGGAGCAGGGAGACAUUGAAUGGCUGGCUGACGUCACACUUAGCAGAGGGAAAGGUGAGAAAAAUCGUGGGUUUUCCAAGUGGCUGAUAGAUGGCAUUUGUACGUGAAAUAUACAUUUUCCUUUUAGAGAUCAGGCUUAGGGAACGAGAAAAUGGUUUAGGCAGCUGCCACGGCUGUAGCUUAAGACUGGUGGUUUCCAGCAUGGUUGGGGGCCUUCCCGUCUUGUCCCCAGAGUUGGAGGUAAUUGUCCCUUGCCUGACAGUUACUUGAAAGUUGACAGGGUACUGUCUAGUCCAUUACAGCAAUUUGUCCUCAUAUAUGGUUUUAUGAUCUAGACUAGCAUGAUUUUGAUAGGAGGCCCAGGGAGGAAGAGAAAAUUCAAGCAGUCAGUGCAGGAGACAUUUGGCUAGGUCAUGGGCUCUAAGGGGCACAGGAUAUAGGAUAUGCAAGCUUUCUAGAAAAUAGUACCUCUAGGGGUGUCUGGGUGUCUCAGUUGGGUAAACCUCCGACUUCAGCUCAGGUCAUGAUCUCACGGCUCAUGGGUUUAAGCCCCGCUUUGGGCUCUGUGCUGACAGCUCAGAGCCUGAAGCCUGCUUCCGAUUCUCUGUCUCCCCCUCUGUCCCUUCCCCACUCAUGCUCUGUCUCUCUCUGUCUCUCAAAAAUAAAUCAACGGUUUAAAAAAAAAUUAAAAAAAAAAAUGCCUUUAGAGAUACAAGGCAGGGCAGGGAGCAUAGCAGCCGGGGGGAGAACCAACUUUUCUUUCUCAGCCAUGGGCAAAAAUAAAAUUUCCAGAAAAUGGAACAGAAGGGAGAAGAAAGAUGUCUGUCAACUUGGUAUAGAAUAUCAGUAAUCCAGAGGACACGUAUGUGGGGGAAGCAUGGAGGAAGUGUCCUUUCUUAUGGUGGGAAGCUGGGGGAGGGGGUACGGGGAGAAGGGAGGGGAAGGAAUCCCACUUAGGGAGAAGAUGACUGAGCAGGUUCUGGAAAGGAUGCAGCAAAAGUGAUGACCAUGGCCUCCCCCGGGGCUGAGGCUGAAGCUUCUUAUUCGUUCAGCAUCCAGUGCCUUCCGAGAGGGAAACAGGGCCUGUGAGUGAGGGCCCUGUGGACCCCUGCUACCCGCAUCACUUUUCCUCAGGAGCUAGUUUGUUCUGUGCUGUCUGUAUCGCUGAGCAGCACCAUAAAAUCCCACAGGCUGGAAGAAGCAGCGGGAUUGUUUGGGGGUGAUGGCAGGGAACGAGGGCCAUGGGGAGACUGCAUCCUGCUCUGUGGUUAGUCUGAGGGUGGAGGUCCCAGAGAAGAGGUGGCUGGGUAGCUCAGACCUAAGGGGGAGGCAAGCUCCUUGAAUCCUUCUAGCGCCAGGGAAAGGACCAAGGAAGGACCAAGUGUUCACCUCCAUCGCCCUGACCACCGUGGGCAAGCGCCCACAUGAUGCGGCACAUUUGGGGGUCCCCUCAGCCCCGCCCUGUGCGAGGCACUUGUGGGAUGGGGAAAAGGAACCUCUCCUUUUGCAGGAGUGGACUUCCACAGGCCAGCCUUGACUGAAAUCUGGCAGGAGGCGGGGAAGGCCAGCUCUGUUGGAACAUGCUGGUGUGUGGCAGGCUCUUGAUAAGUCCCAGAGCGUUGCCAGCUUCUGGAGGAGGUUGUCAGGCUGUACGUGCAUCAGACACACCCCCCGCUGUGGCCUUUACCUCGCUGGUCUUGCCAUGUGUGUUGAUGGUGGUGAGGCAGCUGGGUCAAGGAUGCAAACCGUCCAGUUCCCAGUUGCCCGUUUAACUUAAUUCAGUUCUGUGACUCUUUUUGAGCACCUCCCAUGUGUCAGGCGCAACUCCACGCCUGUUUUGACCGUUGACUUCCAUCUCUGCUGCUACUCCAAAUGCUGGUCAUCUGCACCGCGUGGUGAGAACCCAGGUUUCCGUCAUAAAAAUUUCCCCUUCGCUUCCCACAUUCUUCGUGUCGAUUGCUUCUCUGAUUAAAAAAAAUAAUAAGCUAUGAACCUCCUUAUGGCGUCUGGCACCCUCAAAUAUUUGGAGAGUAAGUGCACGAAUGAACUCUGACUUAGGAACACAGGUUUUCCUGGCAAUUCGGUGGAACCCUCAGAGGGUCAGCAUAGUUUUCCAAAUUUUCCUCGGUCGCUGGAUCAAAGGGGUGGGUUUAUUUUGACCAGUCCCAUCGGCCACCCCCAGACAGCCGGGCUGUCCCCCACAGACGGCUCUACUCUGUUGCAGUCAGGUGGAUUUCGGGGACUCUGCGGCUGUCCGUACUUUCCCAGGCCUAUCUUUAUUGAUGGUGAUUAAAGGCACACCACCACAUGGCAAUAUGAAAGUACAAAGCAAUUCCCAGGGUAAGGUGCGUGGGAAGAAGUGAGAUACUGAGCUCCCAAACCAUUCUACUGUAAUCACGGUCUGCCAAAUCGAUGUAUAGUUAAUCAGUAAGAUUCAGGCAGGCAGGUUCCACCACCAGGCAGCAGAUAGAAAGGGGGAAGAGGCUGGGGGGGGGGGGCAGGGGGGGUGGAGAUCACUGUUCCUCCUGGAAAACUGGGAAAGAAAAUGAGAAGGAGGCCACCUGGGCAAGGAGAGUCUGGUGGGCUGUCCCACCCAGGAGGCCACAAACCGUCCCGAGGAGGGACCGCUGCUGACCUCUUCUCUGGCCCUCAUGCUCUGUUCAUGCCAGCCCCUCGUGGAAGAUUCUGGGUGACCCAGAAAGAUGGAGUGACUGUGCGCAGACACACUGGGUUACAUAAGUAUAAAUACGGUGCACAAAAACACCAGUCUUUAUAGAGCACCCCAACACACCUGUUGUUUUACGAUGCUGAUGGUAUUGAUAAAGGGGGCUAUAAAGUUGAGGGUGAAAUGACCUCUUAUAUUUAAAUAGCAGCUUCCUCUGUGAACUUCAAGUGUUUUACAGCUGAGACUCGACUGCCCUGGUGAUAAUUUCUGUUAGGAAUGUGGAACGCAUAUCUCUCUAUAUGUUCAGGGAAAACUAUAGCAGUGUUGGUUACGAAGCAAAGGCUCUGGAGCCCGGCUGCCUGGGUUCGUGUUCCAGCUUGUUCGCUUUCUAGCUACGUGCCAUAGCUAUUCUGUACCUCAAUUUACUUACCGGUUAAAUGGGGAGAUCGCCAGUGCUUAUAGGAUUGUUGUGAGGACAAGGUAUAUAACGUGCCUAGAACAGUGCCUGACGUAUUACAAAUACAGUGUAAGUUUUCAGCUGUUUUGUCACUGCUCUCUACGUGUCUUUGGCAUAUAAGAUAGGUAGCCUCCUUUCUCUGCAAAAAUUCACAAGGUGUUAAGAUUUCAAAGAAAUGGAUGGACCACCACUGUCGUAAAUGGGUCCAUGCGUAUUUGACAAAGCCAAAGGCUUCAGCCAGUCUUUUAUGAAUCACAGGCUGUGGAACCAGGAGAAACCUGAAAAAACUAUCUGGCUCCUUCUCCUUUGCCAGGGAAGUGGGUCUCUAUCACCCGUGUACUAUGGUUAUGGCUCUACGGGCUGUAGACUCUUGGGUAGGUCUGCUUUGCAUUAGUGAACUGAGCCUCAGGCCCACAGGAGGGAGAGUUCUGGAGGCAGGUAAGGGCAUCGGUGUGGGCCUGGCAUACAGGAUGUGUGGGCUCCCCCCUCUUCCUCGGGCCCAGCUGGCCCCAGCCCCUGCCCUCCAGGCAGGAACGGGAAGGGCUGGAAGGGACACUUCAUCCACAGGGGCAGACGUGGGCAGGCCCUCCCCGGAUCUGGUCACACUUACAUGCGUUACAGUUGGUGGCAAGAUGCAUGUCUGAGGCCUGCUUCAGUGGGUUCUUGUAGAAGACCUUAGAGUUUAUGGUCCCGACUGGGUCACUUUUGAGAGUGAAAGGUCGUGCUGGUAACAGUCAUGGCAGGACGCCUGGCAUAACCCGGGACUCGUGGCCAUCCUAGUUCUGUGGUGACACAUGCUCCAUUGUUUAUCUGUCUCUUCAGCUGUCUUUUUAUCAGAGAUGCUUCCUAAGAAGAAAUUUUAUUUAAAAAAAAUUUUAUUUUAUUAUGUUUGUUUAGUAUGUCUGUUUUUUUUUGUUGUUUUUUUUUUGUUUUUUUUUUGUUUUUUUUUUUUUGAGAGAGAGCACCAGAGGAUCAGAAGUGGGCUUUGUGCUGACAGCAGUGAGCCUGAUGUCGGACUUGAACUCAGGACCGCGAGAUCGUGACCUGAGCCGAAGUCGGACGCUCAACCGACUGAGCCACCCAGAGGCUCCUUUAAAAAUUUUUUUUAAUUAAGGGGCGCCUGGGUGGCUCAGUCGGUUGAGCAUCCGGCUUCGGCUCAGGUCACGAUCUUGUGGUUCGUGAGUUCGAGCCCCGUGUCGGGCUCUGUGCUGACAGCUCAGAGCCUGGAGCCUGCUUCAGGUUCUGUGUCCCCCUCUUUCUCCGCCCCACCCCUGCUUGUGCUCUGUCUCUCUCUUUCAAAAAUGAAUCAACAUAAAAAAAAUUUUUUUUUAAUUUUUUAAUUAAAAAAAAUUUUUUUAAGUUUAUUUAUUUUGUGAGAGAGAACACGCACGUGAGCAGAGGAGGGACAGAGAGAGAGGAGGGGGAGAGAGAAUCCCAAGCACACCCCGCACCACCAGUACGGAGCCAGAUGCGGGGCUCGAUCCCAUGAACUGCAAGAUCAUGACCCCAGCCAAAAUCAAGAGUCAGAUGCUCAAAUGACUGAGUCACCCAGAAGAAAUAUUAUUUUUAACUCACUAAUGUUUUAGCACUUCUAUGCCUAUGGAAGGUGAUGCCUUCGAUCUACCAAUGAGGCCGCUGCUGAACCUAGAGAGCCUUAGUGUAUACAGGAGAAGGGAGGGACAGAGGGAAGCCCCACAAUGGUUGGAUGGUUGCUUAAGGUAUGUUUGACAGGACUUGUUUCUUCUCUCAUAGAGCAGAUGGGCCUGGAGCUUCCCCACCUUCUGGUUUGCACUAGGUUGUGUGCUAAUAUGGCAAUGCGACCAGGGGACUUUGCACCUGCCAAGCAUGGCCGAGAACAUCCAUCUCCCUUGGACAUGUGAAUGCAAAGAAAGCAAGUGCUGUAAUCUGAAAUCCAGGCCAUUGUUUAAUGGCAGAAGGAAGACCCCAAAGGAAGGAGCUUUUUCCCACCCCAAACACUCGCCCCUUUGGUCUUGAAUUUGACCGUGUUCUUUUAUGGAAAACAACAACAAAACAAAACAAAAACACACAAAACUUUUUUUCUGAAUAGCUCAAAGUCAAGGUUUGCUGUUUGUUAUUUCCUUAAAAAAAUUCAAGAAAGAAAAGAAAAUUGGGUCCCUAGCCUGAAUGUUCUCCUAUGUGCCUAUUUAAUGAUUAAUAACACCUUGUGGGCUAUUGUUUGAUGUGGCCUCUGCUGGUUUGAACAGGAGAAUACUGAUUCACUCUCAAGGCAUUUAUGAAUCACAAGUGUUUACCCUGAGACAAUAAAUGAAAGGGGGAGAUUGAAAAAAAAAACACCCAAAUAUGCUGAGUUCUUUGAGCAAAAACUGGAGGUAAUAGUCUUUGAUACCCUGUGUGGGGCCCACUGUUUUCUUUCACAGAAUAAAGAUGGUGUAGAAUGACCAAGAGGGCGCUUUUGAGUUUUAUACAUUUUUUUUUUCACUUACUGAUAGGGUUGAGGCAACUUUCCCCCUUAUUUUCUUCCUUCCUUCCUUCCUUCCUCCCUUCUUUCUGCCCCCAAAUCUAGGGUCCAGUGAAAACAGACUGUUAAAUUUGCCCCUGAUGACCCUUUAAAUUUUUUUUAAUUUUGAAAUGAUUUUUUUUUUUUUACGUGUUUAG
rnacentral:lncRNA from 1 species